UAAUUCAUUUUUGGGGAAAAUUAGAAUGUCGUGCCCUAACGUAUUGGGUGUGGCAUUUUCUUUCUCUGAAAUGAUAAAGGUUUUAAUACAUAACGUUUUUAAGUUUUUUCUAAGGAUUAUAUUUCUUCAAAUUUUUGACAUUAAGACAUUAAUUAAUUAACUAGGUACCAAUUUUGGGCGUACGAGAGUGCUAAUCCUUCCUCGUACGUAACUGACUCCCGGAUCCGUUUUUCUAAAACUCGUAGACCAAAGUCAUUUUUUUAGGUGAUCCAAUCACACCUCAAUAAAAGAUUGGUGGCGACUCCCAAUUUUAAUUUUUUUAAAAAGUCGACAACCUAAAACUUUUAUUUUUCAAAAAAAUGGUUUCGACAGCUUGGCGACUCCACUGGGGAAAUUUUUUUUAAAUAGAAGAGAGUCGAGCCACAAAGUUGAUUAAUUUUUGUCUUACGGUCGAGAAAAAUAUUUUUUUUAAAAAAAUCAUAACAUCCUUUCGCAUUCAUUAUCUUAUUCCUUAAAUAUUGUUAGCAUUAUACAUUUCAUGAGUUGAACAUUUUUACCCUUUUAAGUGGGAGUGAGAAGCUAUGCCUUCGUGAGGUUUUCAUCUCCGUGUAGGAUAGUGGAUUGUUUUCGGGAUACAUCCGUACCUAUGUCUUCGUGAGAUUUUCACCUCCGUGCAGCCAUAGGGAAAUGUAUUCCCCUGAACCGAACUCGAUCCAUAUGAGCCUAUAAAGGGUGAGGAUGGAGGAAUCUGCUGGUUCGGGUACCUUUACCCUAGAAGCCAAACUUCAUAUAAUGAACCUUAGGAAUCCACCCUAGGUAGAACUAUACUGAACCCUAGUAGACAUCCGAUUAGGUGUUUUACUAUUUCUUGAUUAUAUUUUAUAUUAUUAUAUGACACUGACCUUUUGUGUUUUAUUUUGUUUGCAUGACAUGGCAUUUCAUUUCAUCAUAAAAGGCGUCAGUUCAGAUUCGGUUGCUAGAUAGAAAGCUUGACAUGGAAAAAGGGUUUCUUAAUAAAGUGGAGGACAAUGCGGCUGUCCGAACUUGGUCUGAAACAACGCAGCAAGAUAAGGGUGAUAGCCUAGCCGAUGGGUAUGUAUCGGAAUUAUGAGAUUUUACUCGCAUCAGUUAACUCAAAACAAUUUGCAGGAGUUGAAAGAAAUUUGGAAUUAAUGGAAUAAUGAGGCUAGGCAGUUAUUUUACGACAAUUAUGGGGACUUACCUUAUUUUCUUGAUGAGAAGGUAGACAAACAUUUGUUUCAAACCCUCACCCAGUUUUGGAAUCCUGCUUACAGUUGCUUCACGUUUGGGAAUGUCGAUUUGGUACCUACGAUAGAAAAAUAUGUGGCUUUACUCCGAUGUUCAAAGUUUCAAGUGGAUAGAGUUUACUCGAGAACGGUAAAUGUGCCAACCUUUUCAAAGAAGCUGAUAUGUAUAACAGGGAUGAGUGAGUAGUGGGUCGCUGCACGAGUUAAGCAAAAAAGGGAUAGCAAGUGCAUUCCUUGGAAGAGCUAGAAACGGUGCUGCAAAAUUGUGAGAUUCAGAUCAAGCACUUGAACGCAAACGAAAGUAGUAAUAAUGAACAGCUCCACCACUUUCAGAGUCAAGUUAGGAGCAGAGAUCAUCUUAUGAAGGAAGCUGUGGUCUAGAUUCGAGAAGUAGCUGAUUACGUACAGAUUUUAGCAGUACAGGCUGACAUGCUGAGUAUGAAGUAUGAAUUAGAAUCAGAUCAGGGGCAAGAAUUGGUUUUGUUACUCAGGAAGAUCAAAGUUCUGGGUACUAGGGCAAAACCUUACUUGUAAUUCGCUUUAUGUAAAGAAUUUUGCUUUCUAGUAAGGUUUUCUUAUAUGGAAUUGAAUCAAAAUUGACGUCUUUUUACAUUCAUGCAUUGCAUUACUUCAUAUGCAUUUAAAAACAUUAAAAGAUUCUAAUUAAUUUACAUCAUUCCUUAGUUAAUCUUGAAACCAACCAAUAAACCGAACACCAUUAUAGUAUCCGAGCAAAGUCAGGAGGCAUGGACCAAAGAUUGGAGAGAAUAGAGCAAAUGCAAAUGCAGAUGCAAGAGCAAUUGCCUGAAUUUCAACAAGAAAUGAGGAAUCAGAUGCUAGAAUUCUAAAUAAAUAUGAGCCAGCUAACCCAGUUAUUGGGUAAAGGGAAAAGCCCAGAGGCUCACUUUGGGGAUGAUAAUGAAGACCCUAUAUAUUCUCCAGAUUUUACCUUGAUAAGUGUCCAGGCCCAACCAGACGCAUGUCCACAAGAGGCACUCUUUACUAUCAGAUCCCGACAAUAUCUGACUGGUACAUCGACACCAGUAUAUCGCCUGACAAACUCAAAAUCCAAUCCUGUUGCUCUUGACAAUUCAUCAGAAAUAAAACAGGUGAAGGUAGAGCACCCAGAUACUAUAAAAGCCUCAAGGAAGAAAGGGAAUAAGGGGAAAAAUGAAGGCAGAUAUAACAAGGGCCACUCAAGACCAAUCGCUGUGGGUCAGUUAAAGACAGAAACCACCAGCCAUCAGGUUCUUUUAAAGCAAGAAUCAUAUGUGAAGCCAGGUACUGAAAAGCUCCAGUUCACACCAAUUUCAAUGUCGUACAAGGAGCUGUAUCAAAGCUUAUUCAAUACGCAUAUUGUUGCUCCUUUACAUGUGAAACCUCCACAGCCCCCGUAUCUCAAAUGGUAUGACACAAGUGCACAAUGCGAUUAUCAUGCGGGAAUUACGGGGCACUCAAUAGAGAAUUGCAUUGCCUUCAAAAAGCUAGUUGAAAAAUUCAUCAACAUGGGUAUUGUCAAGUUGGAUGACUCAUCUAAUGUAGGAAAUUCGCUACCCAAUCAUGAUUGAUAAUGGUAUGAAUGCAAUAUAUGAAGAGGUGUUGAGAAGUGUUCACAUACGGAGACACAAUUGAAAAGGGACCUUGUUAGAUGUCUGCCCUUAUAAAAUUUGGGAGUGUUCUAAGUAAUUAGAUUGCGGAAGAAAUCUCUGUAGUCUUUAGAGCUUGUUUAGAGUAAUGUUCAGAACAUUCUUGUUGCUUUUAGCCUAAAAACGAUAGGAAUUCCUUUGUGAAAUAGGCUCAUGUCUAAACAUCAUUAUUCUAAUAACAUACAUCUUUGCAUUUGAGCCAAUAUUUUUUUAUUCUUUGCGAGUAAUUAUUCUUUCAUUCUUUUGGAUUUUCUUCCACAUCAUUCUUUCGUUCAUAAUUAUAUUGUAUAAAUAAUCAUUCGUAAAUUCACACAUUCUUUUGCAAUUACUAUGGGUCCUCAGAUAUCAAUGACAUGAAUGACGCUGCUACUGACUCAGAAUCUCCUUCUGAGCGAGACAUGUGCUUAGAGGGAUCUCAUAACUUUGAAGAUGUCAUAGAUCGUAGCCUAUUUCUGGACCUGUUAAGGAUGGUAGAACAAGUCGGAAAAUGGAUCUCACCCUACAAAGAAUUAUCAGGGUACAUGACUUUUCCUUAUGUGGGGCAUGGAGGUCAUUUGGUCGAUCUCGCCAAAAGAGUCUGACGGUCAUCAAUUCAUCUUUGUGAUCGUCAAUUACUUUACUAAAUGUAUGGAAGCUGCUUCGUAUGUCAAUUCUUGAAGAAUCAUAUAGAAUGCCAAAAGGAUCAUAUCUGACAAUGUACUAAAUUUGAACAACAGCACAAUAUCAAAAGUUUGCAGUCUGUUCACGAUUAAUGCUUUAUUGCCCAAAGAAAAGAUGGCAAAAAAAAAAGAACUCUGCCGGGGCAAUGACUUUCUCUUGGGUCUAUCGUGGUUUUGCCUAUUGAAGGCAAGAUUCUUUCACUCUGAGUUUUAAGAUUUAAUUGAAGAGGAAUGUUCAAAGUUAUCCAUAAUGGUCAAAUGCGCCAAUAGAAAAUGAUGCGAGCUCCCAAAAAAGGGUCCGUACUAGAGAACUUCUUGAGAGGGACCUGGUAUUGAAGAGGAUCUUUCCCAUACAAAAAGAAUUUUAUCCAAGUUGAGAAGGACCUUAUAUUGAGGGCCUUAUCUAGAAAAGCGUCGAUCAGAAGGGAUAACAAGGACAUGCCUAAUCCUAUGAGUUCAGAUUCAAUCAAAAAAUAUUUCAAAAAAAAAGAGGAAAAAGAAAAGGAAAAAGGAAAAAAGAAAAAGAAAAAGUAAAAUGAGAGGCCAAGGUGAAAAUCUACAAAGUACGCCUUGAGACCAAAGGGGAUUUGAGUUGAAAACCCGAAAAGGGCGGCUCAAAUAUUGAUCAAAAUGGGGCAUGAGGUGAUCAGAGUAGUUCAAAUUUUAAUCAGAUUAGGGCAUAUGAUGAUCUUUCUAUACUUGAAUCAACAGGAAAGGGUAGACGACAUCUUGAGGCAUCGACAGAGUACUGUAGAUCUCUCAAACAUAUGUCAAACUCAGGAGGGUCUUCAGAAAGUUUGUACAGAGAAGUUCAAGCUGCGAUAUCUGGGGCAUCCAAUUUUUUUUAUAUUGAAUUUGUUAUUCUUGGAAUACUUCAUUCUUUUCCAAGAUAUACAUUCCCAAUCAAUUUCUUUGCUAUCCUUAUCUACUUUUGUUGAUAAUUUAUUCCUUUCGAGCUAUGCUUAGAACCAAUUGUAUUAUCAUCCAUUGUUAUACCCUUUUAGCAAACAUGUUGUAUUGGAAUAAUGAUUAAUGGACUAAUAAAACUUUCACAAGGGAGGUUUUGCAUAUUACUUUAGAAGUUUCUAAAUAAUACAGGAACCUAAAACAGGACUAUUGUUUAGAACGCACCAAGUUUUAAAGGCUGGAAAUCUGAGAAGGAAGAGUCCAAAUUAAGACUUUCUCUUUGGAUUUUGUUGUCAAAAACAUUGAUUGAAUAACAUAACAAGAUGUCAGUUUGGUGAUAAAGCUUAAAAUGAACAAGCAAGUAAUGAUCACCAGACAAUAGGAAGAGGUUACCUCAGAGAAGAGAGCCUUCAUUUGCGCAUGAGCCUUUGGUACGAUACCCUGAGAAUGAUGUAAGAGACCAGAAAAAUUUAGAUCCUGUAUCCUUGAAUUGUGAUAGGAGAGGAUUGAAGAAGCCAUAUACCCUUGGAUUACAGUGGGAGAACGAUGAUAUGAAUUUUUGCGCCCUGAUGGAUUAAACUUUGAGGUUUACAGUGGGGGCAACCUGGUUAAAUGUUUCUUCAGAAAAGCCAGUCAAGCAAGAAGGCGUUAUAGCACGUCAGUUACAAAGCCUUAAUAAACUUUGAGUAAUGACAACCUAAGCGGGAUCAUUCUCGGAAAAUUAAAAUUUUGUAUUCAUGUAAACACCAUUCGCACAUGUCUAGUUAGGAGCAUUUGAUGCAUUUUGAUUAUGCCAUCCUAAUCAUUAGGCAUAAUUAGAUUCAUUAUACAGGUCAUGUUCUCCAGAGAACAGAUUAGUGAAAAAGUAGAUCUUGUCUUCAUGUAUUGGCGUGAAGUAGAUCGAAGAUAGCAGAUCAUGUCUUCCUAUAUUGUUAGGAAGUGGAUCGAAGAUGCAGAUCUUGUCUUCCCAUAUUGGUGGCGAAGUAGAUCGAAGAAAGCAGAUCUUGUCUUCCUAUAUUGGCGUGAAGUAGAUCGAAGAUAGCAGAUCUUGUCUUCCUAUAUUGGUAGGAAGUGGAUCGAAGAUUUCAGAUCUUAUAUCCCUAAGCAAUAGUGGAGCAGAUCAAAGAUGGCGGAUUUUACCUCCUUAUGGUUACAGUGGAGUACAUUGAAGCCAGUAAUUCUACUUCCCUGAACAACAGUGGAAUAGAUUGAAGAUUUGAGAUCUUAUCUCCCUAAGCAGUAGUGGAGCAGAUCGAAGAUGGCGGAUUUUACCUCCCUGUGGUUAUAGUGGAGUACAUUGAAACCAGUAAUUCUACUUCCCUGGAAUAGAUUGAAGAUUUCAGGUCUUAUCUCCCUAAGCAGUAGUGGAGCAGAUCGAAGAUGGCGGAUUUUACCUCCCUGUGGUUACAGUGGAGUACAUUGAAGCUAGUAAUUCUACUUCCCUGGACAACAAUGGAAUAGAUUGAAAAUUUCAGAUCUUAUCUCCCUAAGCAAUAGUGGAGCAAAUCGAAGAUGGCGAAUUUUACCUCCCUGUGGUUAUAGUGGAGUACAUUGAAGCCAAUAAUUCUACUUCCCUGGACAACAGUGGAAUAGAUUGAAGAUUUCAGAUCUUAUCUCCCUAAGAAGUAGUGAAGCAGAUCGAAGAUGGCAGAUUUUACCUCCUUGUGGUUACAGUGGAGUACAUUGAAGUCAGUAAUCAUAUAUCCCUGGUCAGCAGUGGAAUAGGUUGAAGAUUGUAAGUCCUAUCUCCUUGAUAUUGCAGUGGAGUAGAUUGAAGCACCAAUUCUUAUACAUUUGAAGAUGCAGUAGGAUGGAAUGUGGCUGCUUGAAGAAGAAGAGCACUAAGAUCCAGCGUGACUGGGCAAAAAUUGGUCAUUUCUAAAGUCUUUACUUCGUUCCUAUUACACGACAACGAGCAAAGAGGGGCAGCUGUAAUACCCAAUUUUAGCCCGGGCUCACAAAAAAAAACCCAAAGUAAUAUCAUUUGGCCCGAUCGGAAUUACCCAUUACUUGAAAAGGUUGAAGGUCCAUUUACAAGCUUAUGGAAACAUAAUCUUUAGGGAUAUGCAAUCUUAGAUAUAAUAUAUAAUCUUAGAUACGAUAUGCAAUCUUAGAUAUGAUAUAUAAUCUUAGAUAUGAUAUACAAUCUUAGAAGAUAUGAUUUUGUAAUCUUAGAGAUUUAAUUUGUAGAUACCCUUUAAUCUCAACCGUUGAUGUAAUUGAUCUGUACCGUUGGAUUUGGGGAGGCUCUACUAUAAAUAGAGGCCUCUCCCUUCAUUGUAAAAUGGGAGGAAAAAGAUGGAGGGGGAAUAAAAAAGAGAACGAUUGACAGUUUUUUAAAGGUGGCUUACUAUUUUUUUCUUUCGAUUAUUUUUUUACUUAUUUACGAUUUUAAAAAAGGGGAGAAGGUGAUACCACUGCGAAUUUUAUUUAGCCCCUCCACCUUUUAAUGUUUUUGUAAUUAAGUUUUUUUUUUUUAAUUUACCCUUUUAUUUAUUUUAAAUUCCAAUUUAAUCCUUUUGAACGGCGCCGUUUUAGAGGAGAAGGGAAAAUUGCCCUUCCAGCCCCUCUAUGUAAUUCUCGCGUUCAAUUUAAUCCUCCAAAUUUUAUUUAUUUGCAUAUUUACCCUAUAUUUUUACUUGCAAUUCAAUUUAGUCCCUUUUUCAUAUUUUCUUUAAAAAUCAAUAUUUUUUUUGGAUAAUGCAAUUGUUUUUAUCUUACCUUAUAAUUUUCAUAUGUAAUUAUUAUUAUUUUGUAUAUAUAUGUUUUUAAAAAAAGAGCAUUUAUUAUGUUUUAUUUUGAAAUUAUUAUUUUUCGCAUACUUGUAUAAAUAUAUAUACUUGUUUUAUUUAUUUAAUUAUUUUUGGUAUUAUUUAUUUCAAACCUAUAUAUACUUUUAUGUAUACUUGUAUGCACUUUUUGUUAUUUAUUUUAAUUAUUCGCUUAUCAAUUUAUGUUUGCAUAUCGUUUAUUAUUAUCUUGCCCAUUUAUUUGAUAUUUUGUAUGUCAUAAUUAUUUAUUUAUUCAUUUAUUCAUAUUAUUUCUAUGCUAUUGUAAUAUUUAUUAUUGCCUUGUAUAUUUAAUGUAACAUCACAUCACUGUUUUACUUGAUUUCAAACUUUCCAAAAUUAAGAUAAAUGCUCGUAUUUAGGAUUUUCAAGGAAAUUGAGCCCUAACGUAUUGGGUUCCGAUUUUCUUCGUUAAAUCUAACAAUCGAGCAUUUCUCUUUAAUAAAAAAAUAAAGAACUCAUUAUUGGGAAUUCAACACGUUGUGUCCUAAUGUAUUGGAUGUGACGCAUUGAUUUCUCAAAAUGAAUAUUUUUAAAAAAAUAAUAAAGGAAAUAUUCCUAGUUUGGGAUUCUAAAGGAAUUGUGCCCUAACGUAUUGGGUCGCGAUUUCUUAAAUCUUGAAUAAAUGGAUAUUCUUUUAAAUUUUUAUUGCACUAGUAUUUUGGCCUAAUUCAUUUUUGGGGAAAAUUAGAAUGUCGUGCCCUAACGUAUUAGGUGUGGCAUUUUCUUUCUCUGAAAUGAUAAAGGUUUUAAUACAUAACGUUUUUAAGUUUUUUCUAAGGAUUAUAUUUCUUCAAAUUUUCAACAUUAAGACAUUAAUUAAUUAACUAGGUACCAAUUUUGGGCGUACGAGGGUGCUAAUCCUUCCUCGUACAUAACUGACUCCCGGAUCCGUUUUUCUAAAACUCGUAGACCAAAGCCG
rnacentral:lncRNA from 1 species